rnacentral:rRNA from 1 species
UACAGAGGUCUCAAGCGUUGUUCGGAUUCAUUGGGCGUAAAGGGUGCGUAGGUGGCGCGGUAAGUCGGGUGUGAAAUCGUCGGAGCUUAACUCCGAAAUUGCAUUCGAUACUGCCGUGCUCGAGGACUGGAGAGGAGACUGGAAUUCAUGGUGUAGCAGUGAAAUGCGUAGAGAUCAUGAGGAAGACCAGUGGCGAAGGCGG